rnacentral:rRNA from 1 species
GUAGGGAAUAUUGGGCAAUGGAGGCAACUCUGACCCAGCCAUGCCGCGUGCAGGAAGACGGUCCUCUGGAUUGUAAACUGCUUUUGAAUGGGAAGAAACGUAGCUUUGCGAAGCUAUUUGACGGUACUAUUAGAAUAAGCACCGGCUAACUCCGUGCCAGCAGCCGCGGUAAUACGGAGGGUGCAAGCGUUAUCCGGAUUUAUUGGGUUUAAAGGGUGCGUAGGCGGCUUUAUAAGUCUGGGGUUAAAGGCGGCAGCUUAACUGUACGCAUGCCCUGGAAACUGUGAAGAUUGAGUGACUUGGAGGUAGCUAGAAUUCCCUGUGUAGCGGUGAAAUGCAUAGAUACGGGGAGGAAUACCGAUUGCGAAGGCAUGUUACUACGAGUAAACUGACGCUGAUGCACGAAAGCGUGGGGAUCAAACAGGAUUAGAUACCCUUGUAGUCC